UAAUUUGUCUUGGGUUCCUUUCAAGUCUCUUUUCUCUUGGUCAGUGUGAGACGAUACACCAAUUAACUGGGCCACGCUAAUCAACACCAUUUGGCAGGGUACUUUGAUGAUUGUCAAAGCUUUUAUUGUCGUUGUAUACUUAAGCAUAGGCAUGAGAUAGAAUAGAUGUCAACAACAUGGAAAAAUUGCACACCAAGGAGAAAAUGUAUAAAAG
rnacentral:misc_RNA from 1 species